GUCAAAGGCCGGACCGCCAAGGCCAAGUGACGCCUUAAAGAGCUGGCCGGACUGCUACUGCCUGCUUUUUAUCUCUGGAACUCCAAAGGUGCCUCCAGCGCCCAGGACUGCGCGGUUUCUGAGGCGGCUGCAUCGCGGGAGUUGGCACAUCGCGAGAUUUCAGGAGCCGCCAGCCCGCGUCCGGGCAGGUGGGGAUGACGGUUAUUCAGGAGAGCCCAGCCCUGCGGGCGCUGCAUUCUGGGAUUCAAAUGGAAGACAGAGCAAGGAUGAGGAGCACCUAGAUGAAUGCCACUCCUACAUGAGAAUUUGGAUAGUCCUGUACAAAAGAUGUGUUGACGCUGGUUUUGGAAAGGAAACAUGGAAACUGUUAAUAGCUCCUGAGACCAAGAACCCAGAGCUCCUCAGAAGACAAGAGUGAAAAGUUACAUUCUUUCCUUUUGGAGUUCCUUCAGGGUAGAAAGUGUAAUCAAUAGCUCAGUAAAUUAUCCUGUGACAAUUGAAGAGUACCUAAAGCUGAGUAAGUAGAAUAAGCAAGAUUAAUUUCCCUCUCAUUGCUGUCAGCAAACCUCCCACCCACUAUGAAGCACUGAUAAGCUUCCAUCGCGAUCAAGAAGGGUUACUUGCUGCCACCUCCUUUUGGACACUACACUUAAUAGAUGGUCCAUGAGUUACAAACUUUUUUACUACUUCAUCUGGUAUUUCUCUGCAUGGAAGAAUAUGAGAUCAAGGUAAGAAGACUUGUUGUGUAGACCCCAUUCAGUAACUCAACCUCUUUAAGCCACCAUAUCUCCCUUUGAUGGAAGUCCUCAAUAAGGUCAUGGGUACACAGAAAACACCACAAAAUGAAAGUUACAUGCUCUGAGUUCCCUUCUAUUGGCUUUUCUACUAAUUGGAUGACUCAUUCUCUAAUGUGGAAGCAUGAGAACCAAAUGUCAGAGGGGUGUGCUGUAUCACAUAUAUUUGUUUCUUUGUUUGUGACAGGAAGAGUUAGACAGUGAGAGAGACAGAGAGAAAGGUCUUCCUUCCGUUGCUUCACCCCCCCAAAUGGCUGCUGUGGCCGGCACACAGUGCUGAUCUGAAGCCAGGAGCCGGGUGCUUCCUCCUGGUCUCCCAUGCGGGUGCAGGGCCCAAGCACUUGGGCCAUCCUCAACUGCCUUCCCAUCCACAGCAGAGAGCUGGACUGGAAGAAGAGCAACCGGGACAGAACCAGUGCCCCAACUGGGACUAGAACCCAGGGUGCCAGCACCGAAGGUAGAGGAUUAGCCUAGUGAGCCAUGGCGCCGACCCAGUAUAUCACAUAUAUUUGUAUGAUCAGAAAUUAAAUUUAAUUAAUUAGAAAUUAAAUGUAAAGAUUAGAAAUUAAAGGAAUAAAUGACAGUCAAAUAAAAGUUUUACUUUUAAA
rnacentral:lncRNA from 1 species